UAGGGAAUAUUGCAAAAUGGGCGAAAGCCCGAUGCAGCAACGCCGCGUGGGCGAUGAAGGCCUUCGGGUCAUAAAGCCCUUUUUGAGGGGAUGAGGAAGGACAGUACCCUCAGAAUAAGCCUCGGCUAACUACGUGCUAGCAGCCGCGGUAAAACGUAGGAGGCGAGCGUUAUCCGGAUUUACUGGGCGUAAAGCGCGUGCAGGCGGAUUGGAGAGUUGGAUGUGAAAGCUCCCGGCUUAACUGGGAGAGGUCGUUCAAUACUUCCAGUCUUGAGUGCAGUUGAGGGAAGUGGAAUUCCGGGUGUAGUGGUGAAAUGCGUAGAUAUCCGGAGGAACACCAGUGGCGAAAGCGGCUUCCUGGACUGUAACUGACGCUCAGACGCGAAAGCUAGGGUAGCAAACG
rnacentral:rRNA from 1 species